UACGUAGGGUGCGAGCGUUGUUCGGAUUUGCUGGGCGUAAAGAGCGCGUAGGUGGUUCGAUCAGUCGGAGGUGAAAUCCCUCGGCUCAACCGAGGAUCCGCGUCCGAUACUGUCGAACUUGAGUGCAGGAGUGGAGAGCGGAAUUCCCAGUGUAGCGGUGAAAUGCGUAGAUAUUGGGAGGAACACCGGUGGCGAAGGCGGCUCUCUGGACUGCCACUGACACUGAGGCGCGAAAGCUAGGGGAGCAAACGGG
rnacentral:rRNA from 1 species